GACGUAGGGCGCGAGCGUUGUCCGGAUUUAUUGGGCGUAAAGAGCUCGUAGGCGGUUUGUCGCGUCUGCUGUGAAAACGCGAGGCUCAACCUCGCGCCUGCAGUGGGUACGGGCAGACUAGAGUGCGGUAGGGGAGAUUGGAAUUCCUGGUGUAGCGGUGAAAUGCGCAGAUAUCGGGAGGAACACCGGUGGCGAAGGCGGUUCUCUGGGCCUUACCUGACGCUGAGGAGCGAAAGCGUGGGGAGCGAACAGG
rnacentral:rRNA from 1 species